GAACGCUGGCGGCAGGCUUAACACAUGCAAGUCGAGCGGGGGAAGGUAGCUUGCUACCGGACCUAGCGGCGGACGGGUGAGUAAUGCUUAGGAAUCUGCCUAUUAGUGGGGGACAACAUCUCGAAAGGGAUGCUAAUACCGCAUACGUCCUACGGGAGAAAGCAGGGGAUCUUCGGACCUUGCGCUAAUAGAUGAGCCUAAGUCGGAUUAGCUAGUUGGUGGGGUAAAGGCCUACCAAGGCGACGAUCUGUAGCGGGUCUGAGAGGAUGAUCCGCCACACUGGGACUGAGACACGGCCCAGACUCCUACGGGAGGCAGCAGUGGGGAAUAUUGGACAAUGGGGGGAACCCUGAUCCAGCCAUGCCGCGUGUGUGAAGAAGGCCUUAUGGUUGUAAAGCACUUUAAGCGAGGAGGAGGCUACUUUAGUUAAUACCUAGAGAUAGUGGACGUUACUCGCAGAAUAAGCACCGGCUAACUCUGUGCCAGCAGCCGCGGUAAUACAGAGGGUGCGAGCGUUAAUCGGAUUUACUGGGCGUAAAGCGUGCGUAGGCGGCUUAUUAAGUCGGAUGUGAAAUCCCCGAGCUUAACUUGGGAAUUGCAUUCGAUACUGGUGAGCUAGAGUAUGGGAGAGGAUGGUAGAAUUCCAGGUGUAGCGGUGAAAUGCGUAGAGAUCUGGAGGAAUACCGAUGGCGAAAGCAGCCAUCUGGCCUAAUACUGACGCUGAUGUACGAAAGCAUGGGGAGCAA
rnacentral:rRNA from 1 species